rnacentral:rRNA from 1 species
CGCUGGCGGCGUGCCUAAUACAUGCAAGUCGAACGCACUCUCGUUUAGAUUGAAGGAGCUUGCUCCUGAUUGAUAAACAUUUGAAUGAGUGGCGGACGGGUGAGUAACACGUGGGUAACCUGCCCUAAAGUGGGGGAUAACAUUUGGAAACAGAUGCUAAUACCGCAUAAAACCUAACACCGCAUGGUGUAGGGUUGAAAGAUGGUUUCGGCUAUCACUUUAGGAUGGACCCGCGGUGCAUUAGUUAGUUGGUGAGGUAAAGGCUCACCAAGACCGUGAUGCAUAGCCGACCUGAGAGGGUAAUCGGCCACACUGGGACUGAGACACGGCCCAGACUCCUACGGGAGGCAGCAGUAGGGAAUCUUCCACAAUGGACGAAAGUCUGAUGGAGCAACGCCGCGUGAGUGAAGAAGGUUUUCGGAUCGUAAAACUCUGUUGUUGGAGAAGAAUGUAUCUGAUAGUAACUGAUCAGGUAGUGACGGUAUCCAACCAGAAAGCCACGGCUAACUACGUG